GUUGCCUUAGGUGGGGUGGCCAAAAAAUCCUUGCAUGCAAAGGUGGGGUAGAAAAAAAUAACCUUACUUUAAUCACACACAAUACAAUAUAUACUAGUAUCAGAGUUUAAUAUGUGAUUAUUCUAAUGUUUUAAUAAAAUAUUAUUGCUUUCCAAAAUGUUGACAGAAACACCCCCUCAACCCACCCGUAAAGGGUCAUUUUUAUAUUCAUUUACACACAAAAUCUCAAAUACUCCAAUUACCAGACAAAAUAUAUGCUGCCUAUAUAUAGGGGCUGUUUAUAUGGUGCAACUGCAAGCCAACCCCAGGGUACCCAAGCUGACCCAGUUUUGGCAAGAUCCUGCCUUUGUUGUUAUUUCUUGUGUACAUAUGGGUAAA